GACGAACCGUGCGAACGUUAUUCGGAAUCACUGGGCUUAAAGCGCGUGUAGGCGGGCCGGCACGUCGGUCGCUGAAAUCCCCCGGCUCAACCGGGGAAGGGCGCCGAUACGACCGGCCUGGAGGGGCGUAGGGGGAGCCGGGAACUUCCGGUGGAGCGGUGAAAUGCGUUGAGAUCGGAAGGAACGCCCGUGGCGAAAGCGCGGUCCUGGACGCCUGCUGACGCUGAGACGCGAAAGCCAGGGGAGCGGAACGGGAUUAGACUACC
rnacentral:rRNA from 1 species